UCGAUCUGCUGCGUCUAACGCUGUGUCUAACGCCGAAGCCUGCGUCUGACGCCGAAAAAUCUCGCGUCCGCGACAUAAAUGAUGCGGCUAGACUGCAUAUCUUCUCUUCUCUUCCUCUUCCAUUCACAGACCACAAGCUCUCUCUUCCAUUCACAGACCACCACCACGAGCUCUCUUCUCCGAUAGAUGCAGGACACAUACCUCGAGCUCUCUCUCUUCUCCGAUUGACGAAGACUUCGAGCUCUCUCUCUCUUCUCUGAUAGACUCAGACCUCGAGCCCUCUCAUCUCUUCGUCCUCGAGCUUAGACCUCUCUUUGAGCUUCGACCAAACCCAUAUCGAGCUUUCUCUUCUCCUCCACAGACGACGCCUCUCGAGCUCCCUCGUCUCCUCCACAGACGCAUCUGGAGCUCUCUCCAUCUUAGACUCAGCUCUCUCUCUCUCAAGCUCACACUGUUUCUUGAGACUGAUUCUCUGUUCUAAAGCUUUGUCUCUCACUCUAUUGUAAGAGCUUUGGGUCUCACUCUAUUAUCCAUCCUUGGUAAGCCAUCCGAGUAUUGGCUCUCUCAUAUCAAACUCUCUCCAAGCUCAGACCCACUCAAGUCUCUCAAGUUCAGACUCUCAAGCUCAGACCCUCUCAAGCUCAGACUGCUGCUCGAGGUCUGUUGUGAUAGUCUAGAUGUUUGAAUUGUCUCAAGUUUGCUCAGACUACCAUUGUUCUUCUCCAGCUUGCUCAGACUAUGUGAUCUUUUUUCAUUAUUCUCUUGUUGUACAAAGAAACUUGUCAUUGUAUUGGAAAAUCUGUAUCAAAGAACAUAAUUUUGUUUCAAAUCUCAUCUAUUUCUUUUUA